rnacentral:tRNA from 1 species
AUCAGGUUAGCAGAUUAGAAUGUACUUGAUUUAGGCUCAAGAGGAAAGGGAUACCUUACCUGAUA